GACGAACGCUGGCGGCGUGCCUAAUACAUGCAAGUAGAAUGCUGAAGGAGGAGCUUGCUUCUCUGGAUGAGUUGCGAACGGGUGAGUAACGCGUAGGUAACCUGCCUGGUAGCGGGGGAUAACUAUUGGAAACGAUAGCUAAUACCGCAUAAUAGCAGUUGUUGCAUGACAACUGUUUGAAAGGUGCAAUUGCACCACUACCAGAUGGACCUGCGUUGUAUUAGCUAGUUGGUGGGGUAACGGCUCACCAAGGCGACGAUACAUAGCCGACCUGAGAGGGUGAUCGGCCACACUGGGUCUGAGACACGGCCCAGACUCCUACGGGAGGCAGCAGUAGGGAAUCUUCGGCAAUGGACGGAAGUCUGACCGAGCAACGCCGCGUGAGUGAAGAAGGUUUUCGGAUCGUAAAGCUCUGUUGUAAGAGAAGAACGAGUGUGAGAGUGGAAAGUUCACACUGUGACGGUAUCUUACCAGAAAGGGACGGCUAACUACGUG
rnacentral:rRNA from 1 species